CGUGCGUGGUUGCGGGCCGGAGGAGAGAGAUAUGCACAAGAGAGGAUAUCUGCCACGCCUUCCGACGUCACUCAUGCUUCGCAAAGAGUGACGUCAGCAUCUCUCAGCUUUUUCUUUCCUCCAUGGUCAGAGCACCCGCAGAUAUAAAAGGCCCGCUUGCACGCACUGAGCAUAGUUACGUAAUCGGUUUUUAGGAAACCCCCAUGCUUCUCUUCGCGGUCUCGCAAUGGCGAAAGUUGCUUCCUUUGAAUGUCAGUACUGCGACCGGCGGUUAGCGAACAAUUGCAGUCUGCAGAGGCACAUAAAACUUGUGCACAAAAUCACUCACCUGAAGUACAACUGCGACGAGUGUGAAGUAGCCCUGACUUUGAAAGAACUGGAGUACCGCCAUAUCAGCGUGCAUUUCUUCGAGCCGGAAUAUGAGAGGUAUCACUUUCUGACAAUGCCAGGUAAGACACUUGCUUAUUCUCUCAAAGCAACGCGUGAUUACCGCUGCACCUGUUAUUUUUGCAUUACGGGCUUGCAGAGUGAACGAUUCACUUGUUCACUUAUUGCUUGAAAUGUGCUCAUUUAUGGUGCUUUCAUGCUUAACAUUUUAUCUGACCAUGCACUAGCUGCAACUUAUACCAUCAUACAUUAAAUUGCAUGCUUAUCAUUGCUGUUUUGAAUCGAAGCAAUGCAGAAUCAUUGCUGAUGGAUCUUUUUUAGGAAUCGCAUAUUUAAGUUUUAAAAAAAUGUACCCGCCGCGGCGGCCGCAUUUAGAUGGGAGCGAAAUGCAAGAAACGCUUGUGUGGCACAUUAAAGGGACACUAAAGUGAAAAAUUAUUUCUUCUGCAUCAGUAAAUUACUGUUCUACAACACCAAAAACACCACUGUUACAAUGAUAAGACGUUUGGUAAGCCAGAAAAAGCGCAAGAACGAAAUACGGGUGGCGACGCCUACUUGAGUUCCCGCACCUGGGGGCUGUGACGUCGUGGAUUUUGAUGGCAUCUUCUAGGGCCUACGAAUUAUAUAUAGCGGUACAGAUUGACUAUAUUGAGUUCCAAAGGAACCAAAUAUUAAACAUGGCAAGUUUCAGGAACCUUUAUUCAGCCAACGCGGCCCAAAUGCGAAAACAUACUUUGGAAUCCCUGACGUCACGCUAACGUACCGGCGCUGGGGUUUCGGCGCAAAAUUCAAAUACUAAUACUUAAACCUUCAUUUUCUCAUCUAAUAAUCAAACUAUUUUUUGAAAUCACUGCCUGCAGGGUUCUCAAACAAUGCUUCAUUAGUCUAAACUGAUUUAUUGUUUCACUUUAGUGUCCCUUUAAAGAUCCCCUCAUGGUCAAAAUUAAUCCGGACUGCGCCACUAUGGCAUGCCUCAUAAUCAAAUCGUGGUUUUAGCGCAUAAAACCCUAGAAUACAUUCUAUAAAAGAAAAGUGACUGGAGGAGCAUGAAUGAAGUUAAUGAUUUGCUAUUUUUACUUUAACUAAUGAAAAAAAGAAAACAAAUAUACAAAGUAUGAACCCUGCUUCUAGUUCCCAACUUCUGUAAGGUAAACCAUGCGAUACAUAUAUGCAGAUUUGGUAGCAUGAAUAUUAGCCAUAGUGGUGGCCAUGCCAUGCAGGAAAGCACUCGCUUUGCAAACUUGGAAAUGGGUAAGCACCUAUAGUAUGGUACAGGAAAAAUUUGUUUCUCCCCAUUGCAGCAAGCACCUACUUUUUUUUUUUUUUUACUGCAUUCUUUAGGGUCUAGAAGCAAUAGUUGUCAGGUUAGGUAGCAUGGACAAGCCUCCUUGUACAUUAAUAAUGUGUUAAAUCAGCUUUUCUGUUCAAGAAAUCUGGUCUAAUCUUGUGCCUUAAACUGGUGCUGGAGCUUUCAUAUGCUUUACAGUCGUCGUAUAGUUAUGCACAGGCUUGCGCGGUAUUGCACACUAAUGAAUAGAGGCAAGUGCACAGGUAUGAGAUUGCACUUAUGCCUAAGGUCGAUCUGCAAUCGAGUACAUGGCUUUGUGUGAGCGAGAACUCCAUACAAUGGAAAGGAUUGCGUCUAAAAACAUUUACACACAGCAGAAAAAACAAAGUAGCACUUCAUAUCAAUCUUAACACAAUAAGUAAAAGCUGAGUCAACCAAAGCGCAAAUUUUGCAUUGUUUGAUUAAAGAAGUGCUAGAAGUACUGUACACUAGUUCUAAUGAUAGCUCCUGUCGAAGUUUUAUAUUUCCUGAAUCCCCAAUGUGCAAAAAAUUUAAAUCUACUAAUUGUUCAGUUAAAACACGGGGAAAACAUGGUGUCAACCACGUGCCAACGCACGCGUGUUAGCCGGCAUGUCAACAGCGUCUGACACGCCGGCUGAAAAAAAGAAGAGGAAAGAAAAAAAGAAGGAUACGCCAAGAAACCAAACUAAGUGUUGUUGCCUAUAGCUUGAAAUUUAGCAUAGCGGAUAGAUUAUAAAGCUCCUUUUGAAAUGUUUAUGCCUAUUUGUUGCAAUGCCUUGAACUUAUGGAUAAGGUAUGAUUCUCUGUAUUUUCUUUCUCGUUCAGAACGGAAAUUUGUAUGAUGUAGAGUUGUCAUUUUCAGUUGUCAUUUCAUGCAGUUCUUGGCGUUGCUCACGAAAAAAUUUUUGAUGGCAGUCACUUUGUGCUGCUAUAAUUAGAUGCCAUGUCACAGUGUCAACCUCAAAUUAAUAAAGCAAAUUAGCUUACAGUUUCUAUACAUACUGUCUUUGCAGGAGUUUGAUCUCUGUAUGAAAGCUGCAAAAUGUACUCAAACAAAGCAUAGUUUAAAAAUGUACAAGAAGCAACAUCAUUCUUGUCACUUUUUUAUAUCUUCUUUUUCUUCAAUUCCAUUAUGCUUCGCUCUAAAAUUUUGCCCUGAGAAAAACAAAUGCUUGAUCCUCAUCAGGAAAAGAGAAAAGAUGUCACUGAACCUCUUCUUCAUAACUACUGAGUUCCACAACAUGUCUACGAUUCAACUUUGUAACGCUAGUUCUGUGCAUUACGCACCCUGAAGUGCAGACUGAACAUACAAGUGUCCAGGGUACUUAAUCUUCUUUCUUCUUCUAAAUUACCCCAUAACAUAUUCUGCACAGCCAACGUGGGCUUACAAUAAACUGAUUCCCCUUGACACACUGCAUACAUGUAACAUUUGCUUUAUUUUAUUAUCCUGAUCAGCUUUCAAGUCAUAGAAGGAAAAGGUGGAGAAAGACACAUGCAGUCACUUCAUUGCAAGGACAGGUACAGAGACUUGCGGCCACCUGAAAAAGAAGCAUUUCUACUUCGUGUGUCACCGGUCUGGAAGUUAUGCUUCACAAGCUACAAGUAAACAAAAGCUGAAGCGGCCUUCAAGUGUCAAGUGUGGAAAAAGAUGUUUUGCGGCAAUGGCUGUGACUGAAGACAACACAGGUGUGUAUGUGGUUUUCCAAUUCAAGCACAGAGGCCACGACUUUGAACUGGGUCGUGUUUUUCUGUCCAAGUCGGAAAGAGCUGCUAUUGCUGACAAGCUGCGAGAAGGCGUGUCCAUGGAUGCAGUACUGGAUAAUGUGCGGUCCAACGUGGAUGCGACAUUCCACCGCAUUAACCUGUUAAGCAAGCAGGAUCUCCGCAAAAUAAUGAGGGAUGCCAGAGUCUCGAAGACCGAGCGGCUGCACGAUAAUGACUAUGUGAGCGUGCAACUCUGGGUUGAGAGGAUGCAUAGUGAAAAGGAAAACCCAUUGCUCUUCUUUAAACACCAAGGACAACCUGACAAAAAGUGACAUUUUUUUAGAGAAAAAAAUGAGGACCUUUUGGAUGACAGAGAUUUUAUGCUAGUCAUCAUGACCACACCACAACAGGAGCUUUUCAAGAGGCUUGGAACUGAUCGUAUAUGUGUCGAUGGAACACAUGGAACAGCAGGUGAGCAGUACUAUAUAAAUGCAUUAAUAAUAAAAGCAAGAAAGAGGGAAUGCUGUCCGAGAAUAAUUGCAAUAGAUAUGAUGAGUAGUAUUCCUUCACA